UAUUUUUAAUGUAUAAUAAUAUACUGUAUUUUUGUUCAUUAUGUAUAAUAUAUUAUCUGCAUUUUAUAAUCCCUAUUAAAGGCAUCUCCAACCAGACUUCAAGAUUUACGUGUAUUUUUUUUUUCGUUUUUCUGGAUUUUUUAUCUUUAUUUAAAAUAUUCUUAUUUAUUCCAUAAAAAUACGGGGGCGCUCUCUCAUACUCACGCAACAGUUCGGCAUUGCUCAGUUGUUCCGCUCUGCCUGGGGAAAUUGUUUGAAUAAUUUAUUAUUGAAAUUGAAGAAGAAUUUGUCGGAGAAAUUUGGUGAAUUGAACAGUUUUUGGAAUUAUGCGAUUAUCUUGUCAACGAGAGGCUUCAGAGAAAAAUUUCGUUAGACUUUUUCGUGGAGAAUCAAAUCUCCAAGAAACAAAAUCUCCUGAUAUUUUCUCCGCAAAUCAAUCGUUAAUGAGAUAAUUAGCUUUUUGUGUAAACAUGGAAUUAUCGUGAAUGAAAUGGAUUUUUUUUUCGUAAUCGUGAAAUUAUCUCAGUAAUAAAUGGGCUUAGAGGAAAAAAUUAUAAAACCUUUUUUGUAGAGAACUGAAAUUACUACAAUAAAUGUUUAUAACAUUUUCUCGUAACAUCCUUUGUUCGUGGAAAAAAACAUGUUUUCUUCAAGUUCAAUAAUUUUUCUCAACUGUGGGACGAAUGAAAUAGUGUCGGUAACUUGAAAAAUCUCUUCCUCACUCAUUUUUACCCUAUGUACAGGCGAUAGAAAGGAAACAUUGCAAACGUACAAGCAGAUGUGUCUGAAGACGAAAAAAAAAAAUUCACUUCCAUUAUUUUCCUUAAUACUGCUCACUGGGUUUCGAUUAGUGAAAACUUUUUACAUGAUUUUUGCUAGUGUCACUCGGGUUUCAUCGUACAUAUCCAUUAGUAUAUAGAGUUUAAGAAGCUCUCAGAAGUCAGCCUUUUACUCGUUCUCCAUUUAACUAGUAUUCGUUAAAUAACAAAUUGAAAAUAAAACGAAAUGUCUUUUCUCUGGGUUUCAGGUGGUGACGAAAUUAUUUGGGCGCCUGGCAGAGCGGCUGAUCAUUCGUCAAUGUAAGAAUCAAUUAUAAAAAAGGAAAUUCAUCGUUUUCUCAGGUGAAAAUGCGUUUGAAUUUCUGAGUGUACAAAGUGAAUAAAACCGGAAUCCAUCGACAGUACCAGUGAAAAUAUGGGACUUCAUCAAGUGUACACGAAAUUACGGAAAGAAAUGUUAUCCAAUGGAGUGUGCUUCACAAAUGGAAAUUUAUGGCCGAGGGAAUUUUACGAGUUGAAAUUAAGGUUCUCGUCUUCCCGAAAAAUCUCCUCAAGGUUACUCCACUCACAAUUCACUCACAACCACUUCCUCUCACAAUUGGAUUUGUCUCAUCACUCAACAACUCCGAAGAACAUUAGUAUAAUGUUUCCAGCACUUCUCGUUGGCUGAGAAUAUUUUUUAAAAUGAAAAAUCGAAGAGGUCGACACCAGUUGAAGUCUCGAGCCUGAAUCAUCCACACACUGAAUAAAAAACACUGAAGUCACAACACCAGAGCAUCGAUCCCAUGGUUUCUUCGUUCUGCAGGUUACAUCAUUCCUUUAAACUAUUCAUCGCACAUUUGAUGAGAGAAAGGGUUAGUGAUCACUCCCAUAUCGCAUUUUCAUAGUUGAACACAUAAAUCGUAUUUAUUUUUUCCAUAAGGGGUUAUCGGACAUUCACCGCCAUCUUGUCGGCCGCCAGAGACGCAAAAUGACGGAGAGCAUCGGAUAACCGUUCAAUUUAAUUAUAUUAUGUUUGAUGUUUAUCACUGAUGCUUACUCUUCACUUAUUCUUCAUUAACGUGCGCGGCGAUGCACGUUUGGGACCUACUAAUGAUAAUGGCAGGAAUGAGAAAUUAGUGAAAUCGUGUUCUCUCAAAAAUUUGAAAUUUCCUCAGCUCGUGAGUGAAUUCUACUUUCCUCGAAUUAUCACUCGUCUUCCCCGUGAUAACGGCAUACCGCA